rnacentral:rRNA from 1 species
UACGUAGGGACCAAGCGUUGUUCGGAUUUACUGGGCGUAAAGCGCGCGUAGGUGGCCUCAUAAGUCCGCUGUGAAAGUCAAAGGCUCAACCUUUGAAAGCCGGUGGAUACUGUGAGGCUAGAGUACGGAAGAGGCGAGUGGAAUUCCUGGUGUAGCGGUGGAAUGCGCAGAUAUCAGGAGGAACACCAAUAGCGAAGGCAGCUCGCUGGGACGUUACUGACACUGAGGCGCGAAAGCGUGGGGAGCGAACAGG